AUGCGGCCUAGAAUAGAAAAGCAGCCGCUCACCUGGACGUGGGACUGCCUAGCCACAUUUCUCAGUGCAAAACCAAGGAAUCUGACUGUCACCAUCCUGAUGAGAGACCCCACAGCACAGCUGCGCCUGGGGACUCAGAACAUUAUCAGCCCUGCCAUUGAGAGCAGCCUCUGCUCUCUGGCAACUAUUGCCUUGUUCUUGGCAGGGAGCCCAGACCGCUCUCACUGAGCCUUCUCCUCCCUAUGACCCUACAAAAGACCCCAGGCCUGGACAGAGCUGCUGAUCUGGUCUCUAGGGGUAGAGCAGUCCCUCCCAGGUUUGUUCUGAAAUAAACCUGUCCUGUUGAGCUCGCACCUCUGUCUCUCCUUUUCUUUUUUCCUAACAGUGCUUAUAUUUAAUGAAAAGUUGAU
rnacentral:lncRNA from 1 species